AGUGGAAUUGCUAGGUUAUAAUGAUAAGUGUAUAUUUAACUUUCUAGGAAACUUCCAGGCUGCUCCCCAAAGUGAUUUAUCAUUUUACAUUCCCAGUAGCAAU
rnacentral:pre_miRNA from 1 species